rnacentral:rRNA from 1 species
UACGUAGGGUGCGAGCGUUAAUCGGAAUUACUGGGCGUAAAGGGUGCGCAGGCGGCGUCGCAAGUCAGGCGUGAAGUCCCCGGGCUUAACCUGGGAACUGCACUUGAAACUACGAUGCUGGAGUAUGGCAGAGGGAGGUGGAAUUCCACGUGUAGCGGUGAAAUGCGUAGAGAUGUGGAGGAACACCGAUGGCGAAGGCAGCCUCCUGGGCCAAUACUGACGCUCAUGCACGAAAGCGUGGGGAGCAAACAGG